CUACGGGAGGCAGCAGUGGGGAAUAUUGCACAAUGGGCGCAAGCCUGAUGCAGCAACGCCGCGUGAGGGAUGAAGGCCUUAGGGUCGUAAAGCUCUUUCGCCUGUGAUGAUAAUGACAGUAGCAGGUAAAGAAACCCCGGCUAACUCCGUGCCAGCAGCCGCGGUAAUACGGAGGGGGCUAGCGUUGUUCGGAAUUAUUGGGCGUAAAGCGCGCGCAGGUGGUUUCUUAAGUCUGAUGUGAAAGCCCACGGCUCAACCGUGGAGGGUCAUUGGAAACUGGGAGACUUGAGUGCAGAAGAGGAAAGUGGAAUUCCAUGUGUAGCGGUGAAAUGCGUAGAGAUAUGGAGGAACACCAGUGGCGAAGGCGACUUUCUGGUCUGUAACUGACACUGAGGCGCGAAGGUGUGGGGAGCAAACAGGAUUAGAUACCCUGGUAGUCCACACCGUAAACGAUGAAUGCUAGUUGCACGGUUCAUUUGCAUACUGUGUGACGCAGCUAACGCAUUAAGCAUUCCGCCUGGGGAGUACGGUCGCAAGAUUAAAACUCAAAG
rnacentral:rRNA from 1 species